rnacentral:rRNA from 1 species
AUUGAACGCUGGCGGCAGGCCUAACACAUGCAAGUCGAGCGGGGGAGGUUGCUUCGGUAACUGACCUAGCGGCGGACGGGUGAGUAAUGCUUAGGAAUCUGCCUAUUAGUGGGGGACAACAUUCCGAAAGGGAUGCUAAUACCGCAUACGCCCUACGGGGGAAAGCAGGGGAUCUUCGGACCUUGCGCUAAUAGAUGAGCCUAAGUCGGAUUAGCUAGUUGGUGGGGUAAAGGCCUACCAAGGCGACGAUCUGUAGCGGGUCUGAGAGGAUGAUCCGCCACACUGGGACUGAGACACGGCCCAGACUCCUACGGGAGGCAGCAGUGGGGAAUAUUGGACAAUGGGCGGAAGCCUGAUCCAGCCAUGCCGCGUGUGUGAAGAAGGCCUUUUGGUUGUAAAGCACUUUAAGCGAGGAGGAGGCUCUUAAGGUUAAUACCCUUGAUGAGUGGACGUUACUCGCAGAAUAAGCACCGGCUAACUCUGUGCCAGCCGCCGCUGUAAGAC